rnacentral:rRNA from 1 species
AGCGAACGCUGGCGGCAGGCCUAACACAUGCAAGUCGAGCGGCCGUAGCAAUACGGCAGCGGCAGACGGGAGAGUAACACGUGGGAACGCGCCCUUCGGUUCGGGAUAACUCAGGGAAACUUGGGCUAAUACCGGAUACGCCCUUACGGGGAAAGAUUUAUUGCCGAAGGAACGGCCCGCGUCCGAUUAGCUUGUUGGUGAGGUAACGGCUCACCAAGGCGACGAUCGGUAGCUGGUCUGAGAGGAUGACCAGCCUCACUGGGACUGAGACACGGCCCAGACUCCUACGGGAGGCAGCAGUGGGGAAUAUUGGACAAUGGGCGCAAGCCUGAUCCAGCCAUGCCGCGUGGGUGAUGAAGGCCCUAGGGUUGUAAAGCCCUUUCAGCGGGGAAGAUAAUGACGGUACCCGCAGAAGAAGCCCCGGCUAACUUCGUGCCAGCCGCCGCCGUAACAC